GCAGGGGAGAAGCAAGACACAGCCUAUCAGUGCUCUGGGGACCAGGGGUGCCUGGGAAUGAGUCUGAGACCUCUGUGAUGGGCUUGUGGCCAAGGAUGCAGGGGGUCUGAGAUCCCAGAUCUCUUAGAGGGCUGGUCCUGGGGAGGAGCUGUGGGCUCCAAGAGCAGUGAGCUUUGGGGCAGACAGAACUAGUUCAGUCCUGGCUCUGCCCUCAGCCCUCACUCUGUUACCUCAUCCCCCACCGGCCUCCCUCAGGUACUUGCCCCACCUGGCCUUGCAUGUGAGCCCUGCUAAGACCGCUAUGGCCUAGGUUCUCCAUUCUUUGCAGGCUAGCCUGAGUACUGCACCAGCCCAAACUUUUGGGCUGCUCCCUUAAGUGCCCCCAGGAGACACGGUACUCAAGCAGAUGUUAGAGCACUGAAGUGAACAGGGAGCUGUGUCUCCACAACUCCAGCUUCCCAAGCCAUGGGUUGUUUUUUUACUGGAAGGAGCAGAGCAUUCUAAUCCAUCCUAAAGGGUUAAAGCAUGCAGGGAUUGCUUUGAGAAAGAGCAAGGAAAUGGGGUGGCCAACCCCCACCCCAAGGAAGCGAGGGAGUGGUGCAGCCGCAAAACUGCAGAGGGAGAGUUGGCAGCAGUGUCCAGCAUGACAUCAUCGCCGCUAUUCCUGCUUCACACAAGAGGACACGGUUUCAGAGAACUAAGUAACCUGAGGGGGCAGCUUAAAGACGAGAACUGAUCACCAGCUAACACUCAGGGUUCAGGACCCUGAGAGGCCCUGGGUUGCUUUUCCUCGAGCAAGGAGAUUUUCAGGACAUCCUACUGUUCCACGGAGGGCUUCAUGGAAGAGGAAUCAGCUAGACUCCAGCCCCUCUGGUCUCCUCAAACGCACUGGCAGAGAGAGCUCUCUGAAGGGAAUUGAGGAUCAGUUUUGAGGACCCAUUGUGAAUCACUGGCUUCCCGAGAACAGCUCCAGAAGAUUCGACUGGGGUGGUCACAGACACGUUUUUGGUGGACUGCUAGCAAACGCCUCCCGUGCUGCUGGCUGAAGGCAGCUGGCAUCACUCUGGGAGACCAGUGCUGUUCCCAUUGAACAGAUGACAAAACGGAGACCACCCAGCUGGUAAGUGGCAGAGUGGCACUUGAGCCAGGAAUUUUUAUUGCCAAUCUUAGGUUCUCUCCUCCACCAAGACUGGGAUUGGACCCUGAGCAGUGGGCACCGCCUGGGGCCUUGGGGGUUUUUCUGAGGGGCACUUUUAGAAAGGCAGCAUGCGG